GCUAUGACGACAAUUUUAAUAAGUCAACACCAAUGGCCACAGUGUUUCCUACUCCACGUGGAGUAUGCUGGUACAUCAUGAGAGAACGAAGUUAACACUUGGAGAGGGGCAGAAACAGGAAAGUAAUCCUCCAGCUUCCGGUGGUUCACCAGGGCCAGCGGAUGCUGUCGUCUCUCAGAUUUCAAAGAAGAUGAAUGCAUGGGUCAAAUUGGAUUAAAAAAUUUAAUUGAAUAAGACAGAACCAGACAGCUUGAUGGAAGACUUUGAUCCGAUAAAGGGAGAGGAGAAAUGCAUGCCCCCGACGCCGGGGUGUGAGGGGGAGCUGUCUGGACCUCGUCUAGCCUAUUCUCAUCAGCACGAAAACCAGUUAUGCCAAUUACGGUAGGACCAUUAUCAAGAGGCAGCCAAGCCAUUUCUAACAAAGUAAAUAUGCAUCCAACACGUGACCAGCAAUCCCUCCGCUAGGCUUGUAUCCAACGGAAACAAACACCCACGCCCACCAAAAAGACCUGAACAAGAAGGUUCAUGGCACCUUUAUUCAUGAUAGCCAAGAACUGGAAACAAUCCAAAUAACCAUCCGCCGAAGACAGGCUAAACACACCGCGGCAUACCCAUUCAAUGGAGUGCAUCUCUACGGUAAAAGGGAACGAGCCACUGAUCCAUGCAAAAACAUGGGCGAAUCUCAAAAACCUAACGUUGAGGGAAGAGUAUACACCAAAGCAUACGUGUUUUAGGAUUUCAUUUACCUGAAAUUCUUUUAAAAUGCAAAACAAAGGCAUGGUGAUAGAAAUCAGAGAAGUGGUUGCCUCGGCAGUGGAGAGGUGAGGUUUAACUGGAAAGGAUCACAACAGAACUUUCUGGAGUGAUGUCAGUGCUCUAUAUCUUAAUCUGGGUGACCACUACAUACAUGGGUGUAGACAUUUGUCAAAGCUCAUCAAAUUGUGCUUUUAAGAUCUGUGCAUUUUACUCCAUGUAAAUUAUACUCAGUAAAGAAAUUUUACCAUUCACUUUUUUUAAAAAGCUGUUAGGAGGCAGUGUGAGGCAGUGGAAUGAGUGUGAGUUUAAGAAUUUGAGUUUUGACUCCUCCACUUUCAACCUGUGAGACCUCAGGCAAGGGAGGCAAAGAGGUCUGUAACAGUGGGAACAAUUUUGCCAUGGUAAACACAAUUUCUUAGCUGCCUAAUUCUUUUCCCAAUCCCCUUUCUCCCUUGCCGGCCCUGACUAAAGAGGGAUAAAAACAAAAAAUCACUUUUCUAGCCUCCCUUGCAGCUAGAAGUCAUCAUAUGCCCAAAUAUUAUAAUAUGUAGAUAGACAUCUGCAGAACAGGGAGAAUUCUGAAAGCGAUCUUGCAUUUCUGAUUAAAAAUAAGUAAAUAAAAGGAAUAAUUGAAGCUAAUGCCAUCCUUCCCUCUCUCCACAUCUUGCAUGGAAAACAGACAUGAUGCCUGGAGCAGGAGCAGCUGUCUUGUGACUGUGAGGUAGCAAGCAGUUAGAAAAAGCAGAGAGAACUCAGGGGCACUGGCCCUGACACCGCUGAGGUGCUGACCCAAGAUCAACAGCUGUUUGCCUCUAGACUUCUUAAAUGAGAGAAAUUACCCUCAGUUUGCCAAAGCCACCCACCAUGAGCCAGGCUAAGUUCCCUGCAGCUGAAAGCAUCCCUAACUAUCCACCACCAAGAACUUCCAGGAGUGAUAUCAUCUCUGUGAAAUCCCAAAACUAUGUGCCAGGCACACGUUAGGAGCUCAGUACAUGUAAAUUCUCUCCUCCCAACCCCUUCCCCAGGAAUGUGGACUGUUUAACAGUGAAAACGUCAUAAUGAGUUGAGGUGAGAGGGCUUUGUUCCUUAAUGAGCAUACAUAUAACAUACGCAUGUGUAGUGGCCAGGAUAAUGCUCCCAAAAGAGGUAUAUAUCCUAAUCCCCAGAACCUAUGCAUAUAUCAUGUUACACGGCAAGAGAGAAUUGGGUACAGGUGAAAUCAAAGUCACUACUCAGCUGACCUUUGGAUGGGGAUUAGCCUAGGUUAUCUAGGUAGAGGAUCCAGCAUGACCGCAACGGUCUGUACAUUUGGAAGAGGGAGGCAGGAAAGGGAGUUCAGAGUGGCGCCAUAUGGGAAAGUCAGUGGACAUUGGUCUUUGCAGAAGGAAGGAACCUCGAGUCGAGGAGUGCAGGCUGCCCCUAGAAGCUGGGAACGGCAAGAAAACGACUCUCUGCUAGACGCUCAAGGGGCACAACCUUGCUGACGCUUUGAUUUUAGCUCAGUGAGGUCCAUUUCAGAUUUCUGAGCUCCAGACCUGUCAGAUGAUGUGUCUGUGUUGUGUUGAAGCCGCUCCGUUGUGCGGUCAUUGUCACGGCAGCCAUAGGAGGCACACACGGCAUGAUCUGGAGGCUGAAGAAAACACAACAAACAACUCCUUUUUCCCCAGUAGGAUGAAAGAAAUUAAAAUAGUCCAGCCAGAGAAACAUUCCAACUCCUGAUCCAGCUGGUGGUUACACAGGAGCACACAUAUGUGGCUUUACUAUAGGUAUAUUAUUCUAUGUCAAUUAAAAGUCAAAUAGCCAUGGUGAAUGUCAUGACUGUACCUUUUCAGGCAAUUCCCCCCUAAACCCAGCCAAGUGGAAGUGGGCCAAGUGCUGCUCACAGCAGAGGGGUUGCAGGCCCAUCAGGCAGUGCAGACGUGGGGCAGAAGGCAACACAUUCAAGAAGCCUCCGCCGCCCUUGGACCCCCCUCUCUGCAUGCCUCUCCCUUCUUGGUUUCCUACAACUUCCUCUGACAUCUUUUCACAAGCAUGCGUGCACUCUGACCUUGGAUGACAACACGACUUUGUUCCGCCAGCAACAUCCUCAUUUGCACCUGUUGCCCCGGUAUAAUUAUCCACAGUGUUUCCUGGUUCGGGUGAUAGAUUAUACAGCCCCACACCUUGAACAAAUUUUUGAAAACGUGGCAUCCAGGGAGAAUCGUGGCCAGAGGAAGAACUCACCGCCCCUGCCACGCCACACCUCGGUGCUUCUGAGCUACAGCGAAACGCACAGGAGCAAGAAAUCCCACGCGCUCUCCGGGUCUGCCCGCGCUCCCCCCUCUGUCCCACUGACCGCACCGGCCCCCUCGACACAAGGAUGAGCUCAGAACAGCCAGGGAGGUGGAUCUAUAAAACCUCACUCUCGUCCUGCGCGAGGCCCAAACCAAACUGCCCACUCCAUCCUCCCUGGGCAAAAUCCGUGUGCUUAAAAGCAUCACGUGGGACCCAUUCAAGGUAAUUAACAACCUCUUCGAGGUCGAAACCCAGCCCCGCCCUCCGGAUCUUGCCCCAACCUUGGGACUUAGAUGAGAGGCAGACAAAUUUGGUCUCCACUUAUCUUUGGGCUGAACUUUUUUCUCCCACUGGCUGAAUGACAUCCUGCCUUUCUGGGGUCGGAAAGCACAAUCCAUUUUGCGUUCACCGGCUCCGGAGUCCGUGUGAAAGUCACCUUGCGGGAGCAGUCUGGUGAACUUGGCCCAGGGCUGCCCCAGGAGGGCUGGAGUUCCAGCGCUAGGAGGGUGAGCAGGCUCUGGCCCGUGGCUCAGCCACCUGCUGGGGCUCCAGACACACGGGAGUAUCUCCGCGUGGCUCGGCUGACCGCCUGCUGCAAUGACUAACCUUAUGUGUGGCGGCGUCUUCGGAUGAGGCCAGUCUCCAGCCUCACCGUCUUCCAGCCGAGGUCCCAGACAUCAUAGAACAGGGACAAUCCAUCCCGUUGUGCCCUGUCUGAAGUCCUGGCCUGCAGAAACUGAGAGACAAUGAAAUAUUACUGUUGUUUAAGCCACUGUGCUCUGGGGUAACUCAUUAUGCAGCGGCUGAUAGCUGAUGCAUAAAGGCUCCAAAUGAUGGCGUCUCAUCAGCAUCCAGACACACCUCUUACGGAGAACUGUGAUCGGUGCCGUUUGAGGUGUGCAGCCACUUCCGAACCAAUCGCUGAAUGCAGGGGAAAUCUGCGCUAUGAUUGGCCCAGCCAGUGGCCAAAGCGGGACACCAUGAUUGACAACUCCACCUGCAAGGGAAAGAGGGGCAAAGGGGUCCUCCCAAGGAAACAAUGCUGGCAGACAAAGACAAUGUCAAGUACAGUGACCUCAUUGCUUGGCCAUCUCCCACUCCCGCCUUUCCAGCUCCUAAUAGCUUGGUUGGUGAUGCCUCCCGCUGAUGCCUGAACUGUUAUCCCAUCACUAUGGAAGUUAUCUCUGCUGAUGGCUCCCGUCGAUAACUGUGCUGGAACUUCGGAUGCCAGGGCUAGCCUCCCAUUAAAGCUGGACCCCUCAACUCACUGAUGCCUUGAGCUACAUUGUUACCUUUGCGUUGAUACCUUAGGAAUCACGUAUUAUUCUCAAUGAGCUGCAGGGCAGACCCUGGGCUGUACCACCAAAACACCCAACUCCUGCACCAUUCCUGUGUUGGAACCCAACACACAAGUGCGCCCUUUUAUUUAAAAAAAGUGAUUCUUAACCUUGGGUGCACGUUACAACGCC